rnacentral:rRNA from 1 species
UACGGAGGGUGCGAGCGUUGUUCGGAAUUACUGGGCGUAAAGGGCGUGUAGGCGGAUAGGCAAGUCAGAUGUGAAAGCCCCGGGCUUAACCUGGGAAGUGCAUUUGAAACUGCCGAUCUUGAGUAUGGGAGGGGAGAGUGGAAUUCCCAGUGUAGAGGUGAAAUUCGUAGAUAUUGGGAGGAACAUCUGUGGCGAAGGCGACUCUCUGGACCAAUACUGACGCUGAGACGCGAAAGCGUGGGGAGCAAAC